UACGGAGGGUGCGAGCGUUGUCCGGAAUCACUGGGCGUAAAGGGCGCGUAGGCGGCCUGAUAAGUAGGGGGUGAAAUCCUGCGGCUUAACCGCAGGGCUGCCUUCUAAACUGUCAGGCUCGAGCACAGUAGAGGCAGGUGGAAUUCCCGGUGUAGCGGUGAAAUGCGUAGAGAUCGGCAGGAACACCCAGGGGGAAACCAGCCGGCUGGGGACGUGCUGACGCUCAGGGGCGAAAGCGUGGGGAGCGAACCGG
rnacentral:rRNA from 1 species